rnacentral:tRNA from 1 species
GGGCCGUUAGCUCAGCCUGGUAGAGCACUUGCAUGACGCGCAAGGGGUCGCAGGUUCGAGUCCUGCACGGCCCACCG